rnacentral:sRNA from 1 species
AAGACUUUGUUAAAAUUCUGGCGGAACUGUUUUAAUUGGUCUCUGAAAACAGGUCCCUGCAGGUAUUUAGAUCAGUGGUAGAUGAGGCAGAGAGGUCAGCUCUCAGGGACAAUCUUUAAGGGCGCCUAUGUCCCUCACAGGCCCCUGACUUGAAAUUCUAGCACGCAGACGCCUCUGGAAAGGUCCCCACCCCAUAGGCACAGGCUCCCUGUGGGGUGAUGUGGCAGGGGUGUUGAAGGAUGAGGGAUAGAAGGGUCCUCAGCACUGCCAUCCUUCACUCUCAGAGGAAGGGCCCAGGGGCCAUCUGCUUAUGUUGACAAAAUAAAACAUGCGCGGUGGGCUGUUGACAAAAUAAAAACAUGUGCGGUGGGCUGUCAGAAGAACCAUGUCCAGCCAUCUUUUUUCUGAGUGCAGAUUUAUAGGAAAUUACGCUAUUUUCUUACCUGUGUUUCCAGCCAUCUCACAGCAUCUAAUGUGAUGCCACAGCCAUGGUUUUAGAGGCUCAGUUUUUCUAUUAAGGGUUUUUUCAGGCAUUCUCAUGUAAAAGGAAAUACAGAAAGUGGUUCUCACUUUCAGUUGAUCUCAUUGCAGAAUAAACAAUUGUCAUAUAAAUGUAGCUGGGUACAGUGGCUCAGACCUCUAAUUCCAGCCACUCAGGAGGCUAUGGCUGGAGGAUCACUUGAGCCCAGGAGUUUGAGACCUUGCUGGGCAACACAGUGAGACUGCAUCUCAAAAAAAAAAAAAAAAUGCAACCAGUGUAUAUUUCAUCAUCCUAUCUCUGUGAGCUUGUUAUACACAAAAGU